rnacentral:rRNA from 1 species
UACGUAGGGUGCAAGCGUUGUCCGGAAUUAUUGGGCGUAAAGAGCUCGUAGGCGGUUUGUUGCGUCGGCUGUGAAAUCCCGAGGCUCAACCUCGGGUCUGCAGUCGAUACGAGCAAACUAGAGUGUUGCAGGGGAGACUGGGAAUUCCUGGUGUAGCGGUGAAAUGCGCAGAUAUCAGGAGGAACACCGGGUGGCGAAGGCGGGUCUCUGGGCAACAACUGACGCUGGAGGAGCGAAAGCGUGGGGAGCGAACAGG